UACGAAGGGUGCAAGCGUUACUCGGAAUUACUGGGCGUAAAGCGUGCGUAGGUGGUUUUUUAAGUCCGUUGUGAAAGCCCUGGGCUCAACCUGGGAAUGGCAGUGGAUACUGGAAAGCUAGAGUGCGGUAGAGGGUAGUGGAAUUCCCGGUGUAGCAGUGAAAUGCGUAGAUAUCGGAAGGAACAUCAGUGGCGAAGGCGACUUUCUGGACAGUAACUGACACUGAGACACGAGAGCGUGGGGAGCAAACAGG
rnacentral:rRNA from 1 species